UACAGAGGUCUCAAGCGUUGUUCGGAUUCAUUGGGCGUAAAGGGUGCGUAGGCGGCGCGGUAAGUCGGGUGUGAAAUCUCGGAGCUUAACUCCGAAACUGCAUUCGAUACUGCCGUGCUUGAGGACUGGAGAGGAGACUGGAAUUUACGGUGUAGCGGUGAAAUGCGUAGAUAUCGUAAGGAAGACCAGUGGCGAAGGCGGGUCUCUGGACAGUAACUGACGCUGAGGAGCGAAAGCGUGGGGAGCAAACAGG
rnacentral:rRNA from 1 species